rnacentral:rRNA from 1 species
AUGCAAUCUAAUAUGCCGGCUUUCAAAACUGCCCCCGGCAUGCAAGUGAAGCCUAGUAAGAGGGCAAAAAAGAGUAAGCCGUCCCGAGACCCGGUCGUGAUUGAACCUGAGCUUGGCACGACUGCUCCUGAUAGUUCUACCCAUCAGCCGCCGCCUGAACCAGCCUAUGACAUUCCAGUACCAACCUCUGAUCCACCUGCCGAAAAUACUCUCAACAGCUCUGAUAACCCGGAAGCUCCUAGCCCGGCCAAAACAAUUGAUCCGGACGUUGAGAUUCUGGAGACUCACUUUGUUGAGCUAGGGCGACCCACUGUCCUUGCCAAGUGCUCUGCUAAGGAGGAACUUCUGGAACGCCGAAAGGCCAAGCUAGACAUUGCUGACUAUACUCAUUUAAGUAUUGGAGAUAUAGUCUCUGGCUAUCUCAAUCAAGUACAUAGCAGUCGUGACCUGGAAAUUGACAUGGUGAAGCAAAUACAGCAAAAAGCUGAGGCUACCAUAAGUCAAUUUGAGUCGAAGACUGCUGACCUGAAGAGCCGCCUGGUAACUCAAGAACUUGAGAUUCAAAAGGCCAACUCCAAAUUUGAAUUCAGUGUCUCUGAACAAGAGAAGUUGAAGAAGAAUUUUGAGGCGGAGAAGAAAAUCUCGGCUGAUGAAAAAGCUUCACUGUUAACCCGGGCUGAGACCGUAGAAGCUUUACUUGCAGAAGCAACAGCAGAGUUGUCUGGCUUAAAGCGCCAGAUAUCUCAAAUGGUCUCAGCAAUCUUUGGUCCUAGGAGCACAAACCUCAAGCAGAACAUGUUGAUCAAGCUGAAGGCGGUUUAUACUCUUGUGGAGUAG